rnacentral:rRNA from 1 species
UACGUAGGGGGCUAGCGUUGUCCGGAAUCAUUGGGCGUAAAGCGCGUGUAGGCGGCUCGGUAAGUCCGCUGUGAAAGUCGGGGGCUCAACCCUCGGAUGCCGGUGGAUACUGUCGGGCUAGAGUACGGAAGAGGCGAGUGGAAUUCCUGGUGUAGCGGUGAAAUGCGCAGAUAUCAGGAGGAACACCAAUUGCGAAGGCAGCUUGCUGGGACGGUACUGACGCUGAGACGCGAAAGCGUGGGGAGCAAACAGG